GUCUUGGUGGCUCAGAUGGCAGAGCGCUGGGGUGUCGAUCCAAAGGCCGUGAGUUCAAGUCUCACCCAAGGCA